GGAAUAUUGGACAAUGGGCGAAAGCCUGAUCCAGCAAUGCCGCGUGAGUGAUGAAGGCCUUAGGGUUGUAAAGCUCUUUCAGCUGGGAAGAUAAUGACGGUACCAGCAGAAGAAGCCCCGGCUAACUCCGUGCCAGCAGCCGCGGUAAUACGGAGGGGGCUAGCGUUGUUCGGAAUUACUGGGCGUAAAGCGCACGUAGGCGGAUCGGAAAGUUGGGGGUGAAAUCCCGGGGCUCAACCUCGGAACUGCCUCCAAAACUAUCGGUCUUGAGUUCGAGAGAGGUGAGUGGAAUUCCGAGUGUAGAGGUGAAAUUCGUAGAUAUUCGGAGGAACACCAGUGGCGAAGGCGGCUCACUGGCUCGAUACUGACGCUGAGGUGCGAAAGCGUGGGGAGCAAACAGG
rnacentral:rRNA from 1 species